rnacentral:rRNA from 1 species
UGAGGAAUAUUGGUCAAUGGUCGGGAGACUGAACCAGCCAAGCCGUGUGAGGGAUGAAGGUACAGAGUAUCGUAAACCUCUUUUGUCAGGGAACAAAAGGCGCCACGCGUGGCGCUCCGAGUGUACCUGAAGAAAAAGCAUCGGCUAACUCCGUGCCAGCAGCCGCGGUAAUACGGAGGAUGCGAGCGUUAUCCGGAUUUAUUGGGUUUAAAGGGUGCGUAGGCGGCGAGUUAAGUCAGCGGUAAAAGCCCGGGGCUCAACCCCGGCCCGCCGUUGAAACUGGCUUGCUUGAGUUGGAGAGAAGUAGGCGGAAUGCGCGGUGUAGCGGUGAAAUGCUUAGAUAUCGCGCAGAACUCCGAUUGCGAAGGCAGCCUACCGGCUCCAGACUGACGCUGAGGCACGAAAGCGUGGGUAUCGAACAGGAUUAGAUACCC